UGUAAGCGUAUACCAAAGUUGUUGCAGUUAAAACGCUCGUAGUCGGAAUUUGGCAGUUCCGGAUGUGUGCACGUCGUGUGCGCACUUCGCGGGGAUUGCUUUUGUGGUCUUGCGUAGGAUGAGGCACUUUUAUUAGUGAACGUCCUCACGCAACCACUUUUUACUGUGAGAAAAUCAGAGUGCUCAAAGCAGGCAUUUGCCGUGAAUGUAUUAGCAUGGAAUAAUAGAAUAGGACUUGGUUCUAUUUUGUUGGUUUGUUGGGACUGAGUAAUGAUUAAGAGGGACAGUUGGGGGCAUUUGUAUUUCGGUACUAGAGGUGAAAUUCUUAGAUUACCGAAAGACAAACUGCUGCGAAAGCGUCUGCCAAGGAUGUUUUCAUUGA
rnacentral:rRNA from 1 species